UUGAGGUGAUUUGAGUGUGUAUUGACUUUGUAAGAGUUUUCCAAAGUUAGGAUUUUUUUGGAUGACUUUGGAUUUAUGAAAUAAAGUGGGUGAUAAUAUUUGGAGAAUUUCAUAAGUUUAACAAUAGAUCUAUAAAUAAAAUUUUGAGGGUUUGUAGAUAUAUAUGUAUUCAAUAUAUGUUAUGAGUUUGAGCUUGAUCAAAGAGUUGAAUCAAGGAUUAUUGAGGAUUAAGUGGGUCAGGGUCUCAAGAAGUAGAGUUUUAAGUCUAGUGAGGGUUUCUACGAUUUCUUGCAAUCUAUCAAUUGAAUAGGAGUGAAAACUAUGUGUGUGGGUAAUUGACUUAUUUUCCUACAUAUAUGAGGAAUUUGAGAUCAAUCAAAUGGUUUGAUAAGGAGAUAUUAAUACUAAAAAUUUAACAUUUAGAUUGAAGAAGGAUGAUGGCCAACACUCAUGUAAAUAUUAGGAUUGAUCUUCUUUUUGGUGAGUUUGAUCUUCUUCAAAAUCUUUGUGCUUAUUUUCAAGUUAAUUGUAAAGAGGUGUAUAAAAUUUCAAUCAAAUUCAAUGGUUCAUUCAUUAGUUAUUAAGGUUUAAAUCUACUGUAAGAAUUACUUGGAAUUAUUUAGAAUUUGAUUAGGAUAUGUUUAGGAUUUGAUUAGGAUUCAGUUAAGAUUUAUUUAGGUUUAUUUAGGAUUUGAUUAAGAUUUUUUAGGAUUUGGUUAGGAUUUGAUUAAGAUUUGAUUAGGAUUUGGUUAGGAUUUGACUAUGAUUUGGUUAGGGUUUGGUUAAGGUUUGAUGUCAAGGACAUGAAUCUCGAAGAAAGAGAAUCCUCAAUACAUUCUUCUA
rnacentral:lncRNA from 1 species